rnacentral:rRNA from 1 species
GUAGUCCACACUGUAAACGAUGAGUGCUAGGUGUAGGAGGUAUCGACCCCUUCUGUGCCGGAGUUAACACAAUAAGCACUCCGCCUGGGGAGUACGGCCGCAAGGUUGAAACUCAAAGGAAUUGACGGGGGCCCGCACAAGCAGCGGAGCAUGUUGUUUAAUUCGACGCAACGCGAAGAACCUUACCAGGUCUUGACAUCCAGUAAAAACUGUAGAGAUACAGUGUGCUUUCGGGCAUACUGAGACAGGUGGUGCAUGGUUGUCGUCAGCUCGUGUCGUGAGAUGUUGGGUUAAGUCCCGCAACGAGCGCAACCCUUGUGAUUAGUUACUAACGUGUAAUGACGAGGACUCUAAUCAGACUGCCGGGGACAACUCGGAGGAAGGUGGGGACGACGUCAAAUCAUCAUGCCCCUUAUGACCUGGGCUACAAACGUGCUACAAUGGCCACUACAGAGAGCUGCGAACUCGUAAGGGUAAGCCAAUCUCAUAAAAGUGGUCCCAGUUCGGAUUGUGGGCUGCAACCCGCCCACAUGAAGUCGGAGUUGCUAGUAAUCGCGAAUCAGCAUGUCGCGGUGAAUACGUUCCCGGGCCUUGUACACACCGCCCGUCACACCAUGGGAAUUGAUAGCGCCCGAAGUCGGUGAGGCAACCGUAAGGAGUCAGCCGCCGAAGGUGAGAUCAAUGACUGGGGUG